UUAAAUUGAGAGUUUGAUCCUGGCUCAGGAUGAACGCUGGCGGCGUGCUUAACACAUGCAAGUCGAGCGAUGAAGUUUCCUUCGGGAAACGGAUUAGCGGCGGACGGGUGAGUAACACGUGGGUAACCUGCCUCAUAGAGUGGAAUAGCCUUCCGAAAGGAAGAUUAAUACCGCAUAAUGUUGAAAGAUGGCAUCAUCAUUUAACCAAAGGAGCAAUCCGCUAUGAGAUGGACCCGCGGCGCAUUAGCUAGUUGGUGGGGUAACGGCCUACCAAGGCGACGAUGCGUAGCCGACCUGAGAGGGUGAUCGGCCACAUUGGGACUGAGACACGGCCCAGACUCCUACGGGAGGCAGCAGUGGGGAA
rnacentral:rRNA from 1 species